GACGAACGCUGGCGGCGUGCUUAACACAUGCAAGUCGAACGGAAAGGCCCUGAUUUUGUGGGGUGAUCGAGUGGCGAACGGGUGCGUAACACGUGAGUAACCUGCCCUUGACUUUGGGAUAACUUCAGGUAACUGGGGCUAAUCCAGGAUAGGAGCUCCCGCUGGAUGGAAGGGGUUGGAAAGUUUCGGCGGGUGGGGAUGGAUUGGCGGCUUAUCAGCUUGUUGGUGGGGUAGUGGCAUACCAAGGCUUUGACGGGUAGGCGGCCUGGGAGGGUGACCGGCCACAUUGGGACUGAGGGACGGCCCAGACGCCUACGUGAGGCAGCAGGCGGAAGUAUUGCACAAUGGGCGGAAGCCGGAUGCAGCGACGUCGCGUGCGUGAUGACGGCCUUCGGGGUAUAAAACGCUGUCGCCUGUGACGAAGCUGGAGUGACGGUAAUGGGUGAAGAAGCACCGGCUAACUACGUG
rnacentral:rRNA from 1 species